GUACACGCUGUGACUAGCAUAUCAAUAAGCGGAGGAAAAGAAACUAACAAGGAUUCCCCUAGUAACGGCGAGUGAAGCGGGAAGAGCUCAAAUUUGAAAUCUUAAAGGGUUUCCCUUUACGAAUUGUAGUUUAAAGAAGUGUUUUCUGUUGAGGUUUUGGUAAAAGUUCUUUGGAAUAGGACAUCAUAGAGGGUGAGAAUCCCGUAUUUGACCUUUACUUUCAACUUUGUGAUACACUUUCAAAGAGUCGGAUUGUUUGGGAAUGCAGUCCAAAAUGGGUGGUAAAUUUCAUCUAAAGCUAAAUAUUGGCGAGAGACCGAUAGCGAACAAGUACCGUGAGGGAAAGAUGAAAAGAACUUUGAAAAGAGAGUUAAACAGUACGUGAAAUUGUCAAAAGGGAAGCGUUUGACACCAGUGUUGUUUUUCUGAAAAUCAAUUAAGGAACCUGUUUAUGCUAAGUUGUUUAGACUUUAUCAGCUAACUGUUUAGUUUUGAGCUUUUCUUUAAUGCACUUUUCAGUUAACAAGUCAACAUCAAUUUCUUUUGCUGUAAAAAAGCUUGAGGAAGGUGGCUUGAGAUUCGUCUUAAGUGUUUAUAGCCUCUUGCCUAUGCAGUCGGAGAGAUUGAGGUCUGCAGCGUAGAUCCUUCGGGGCUAAAUGCAUUUGUGCUAAGUUAUAACAUUUUAUAGACAACUUGUUGACUAUGAUUUGUCUUGUAGCUUACUCGCUUAUGUUAUUUUACCUACGCUUAGGAUGUUGACAGCAGUAUAGACUGU
rnacentral:rRNA from 1 species